GCAUCAGUGGUUUAGUGGUAAAAUCCGUCGUUGCCAUGAAUACCAUGCUUUCUGGCAUCGGUUCAAUGCUGACUCGACGGGCCCCGUGUUCGAUUCACGGCUGAUGCA
rnacentral:tRNA from 1 species